AUGUUUCUCUACAGAUGGGAUUUGAAAUGGUGUCCCAUUUUUGGCAAAUUGAAGACUCUGUUACUCAAUGAGUGGUUUACGGCUGUUGGCCUAGUUUGCAUUCUCCGACAUUCUCCAGUCCUUGAGAUACUCACUCUUAAGCUUGACAAUACCGAGGACAUUGUAGGAGCAACAGGAGCCCAGGAAACAAAAACACAAUCAUUUGUUUGUGCAUGCAUUAAGUCCGUUUACGUUGAAUGUGAAGAGGUUGAUGAGGGAGUUCUUGCAGUCUUGAAUAUCUUAAGUACAUGCGGCAUACUUCGUGAUCAAAUUAGCAUCAAGGAGGAUCCACAUACGGACUCAGAUUAG
rnacentral:rRNA from 1 species